AAACCAACCGGGAUUGCCUUAGUAACGGCGAGUGAAGCGGCAAAAGCUCAAAUUUGAAAUCUGGUACCUUCGGUGCCCGAGUUGUAAUUUGGAGAGGGCAACUUUGGGGCCGUUCCUUGUCUAUGUUCCUUGGAACAGGACGUCAUAGAGGGUGAGAAUCCCGUGUGGCGAGGAGUGCGGUUCUUUGUAAAGUGCCUUCGAAGAGUCGAGUUGUUUGGGAAUGCAGCUCUAAGUGGGUGGUAAAUUCCAUCUAAAGCUAAAUAUUGGCGAGAGACCGAUAGCGAACAAGUACAGUGAUGGAAAGAUGAAAAGAACUUUGAAAAGAGAGUGAAAAAGUACGUGAAAUUGUUGAAAGGGAAGGGCAUUUGAUCAGACAUGGUGUUUUGUGCCCUCUGCACCUUGUGGGUAGGGGAAUCUCGCAUUUCACUGGGCCAGCAUCAGUUUUGGUGGCAGGAUAAAUCCAUAGGAAUGUAGCUUGCCUCGGUAAGUAUUAUAGCCUGUGGGAAUACUGCC
rnacentral:rRNA from 1 species